AUGCCUUAAACUAAUGAGUAAGGAAAAUAAUGGGCCUGUAGAAGUACAGGCCUCAGAGUUGUAUCUCUGACGAAUUUCUGACAAGGCACAGGUUGCCCCCGAGUGACCCACCUACAUUCGUGGGAUGCUUGUGGCGAAGCGAUCUUGCCUG